GAUGAACGCUGGCGGCGUGCCUAAUACAUGCAAGUCGAACGAAACUUCUUUAUCACCGAGUGCUUGCACUCACCGAUAAAGAGUUGAGUGGCGAACGGGUGAGUAACACGUGGGCAACCUGCCCAAAAGAGGGGGAUAACACUUGGGAACAGGUGCUAAUACCGCAUAACCAUAGUUACCGCAUGGUAACUAUGUAAAAGGUGGCUAUGCUACCGCUUUUGGAUGGGCCCGCGGCGCAUUAGCUAGUCGGUGGGGUAAAGGCUUACCAAGGCAAUGAUGCGUAGCCGAACUGAGAGGUUGAUCGGCCACAUUGGGACUGAGACACGGCCCAAACUCCUACGGGAGGCAGCAGUAGGGAAUCUUCCACAAUGGGCGAAAGCCUGAUGGAGCAACGCCGCGUGGGUGAAGAAGGUCUUCGGAUCGUAAAACCCUGUUGUUAGAGAAGAAAGUGCGUGAGAGUAACUGUUCACGUUUCGACGGUAUCUAACCAGAAAGCCACGGCUAACUACGUGCCAGCAGCCGCGGUAAUACGUAGGUGGCAAGCGUUAUCCGGAUUUAUUGGGCGUAAAGGGAACGCAGGCGGUCUUUUAAGUCUGAUGUGAAAGCCUUCGGCUUAACCGGAGUAGUGCAUUGGAAACUGGGAGACUUGAGUGCAGAAGAGGAGAGUGGAACUCCAUGUGUAGCGGUGAAAUGCGUAGAUAUAUGGAAGAACACCAGUGGCGAAAGCGGCUCUCUGGUCUGUAACUGACGCUGAGGUUCGAAAGCGUGGGUAGCAAACAGGAUUAGAUACCCUGGUAGUCCACGCCGUAAACGAUGAAUGCUAAGUGUUGGAGGGUUUCCGCCCUUCAGUGCUGCAGCUAACGCAAUAAGCAUUCCGCCUGGGGAGUACGACCGCAAGGUUGAAACUCAAAGGAAUUGGCGGGGGCCCGCACAAGCGGUGGAGCAUGUGGUUUAAUUCGAAGCAACGCGAAGAACCUUACCAGGUCUUGACAUCUUUUGCCAAUCCUAGAGAUAGGACUUUCCCUUCGGGGACAAAAUGACAGGUGGUGCAUGGUUGUCGUCAGCUCGUGUCGUGAGAUGUUGGGUUAAGUCCCGCAACGAGCGCAACCCUUAUUGUUAGUUGCCAGCAUUAAGUUGGGCACUCUAGCAAGACUGCCGGUGACAAACCGGAGGAAGGUGGGGAUGACGUCAAAUCAUCAUGCCCCUUAUGACCUGGGCUACACACGUGCUACAAUGGACGGUACAACGAGUCGCAAGACCGCGAGGUUUAGCAAAUCUCUUAAAGCCGUUCUCAGUUCGGAUUGUAGGCUGCAACUCGCCUACAUGAAGUCGGAAUCGCUAGUAAUCGCGGAUCAGCAUGCCGCGGUGAAUACGUUCCCGGGCCUUGUACACACCGCCCGUCACACCAUGAGAGUUUGUAACACCCAAAGCCGGUGGGGUAACCUUUUGGAGCCAGCCGUCUAAGGUGGGACAGAUGAUUAGGGUG
rnacentral:rRNA from 2 species